CGUCGCUGUCAUCUUCUUUAUA
rnacentral:siRNA from 1 species